UCAGCUUUGCUUGUUAGACUUACAACAUUAGCUGGAUUUUUGCAUCUCUUGUUUUAUGUGAGAAAUCAAGCAAAUGGGUAUCUUCCAAAUACUUCGACGUAUUCAACUUCUGCUGCUCCAAUUCAAAAUCUUGUUUUUCUGAUCAGGCU